rnacentral:lncRNA from 1 species
CUGAAUGAGACCCUUUGCUGGAACUGGCGAAGGGAGAAAAAGUCCUCGAGAGAGGGUAGACACUGUGGAGGGAAGAGCUUGGGACCAAUGUCAGGAGAGCUGGAUCCAUCUCCCUCUCUGCUCCUCAUUACCCUUGUGACCUAUAGCAGUGUAAGUAAUCUCUCUAAGGUGGGGACAGGACCCCAGUCCCUGCUGUGCUCAAUAAAUUAUGAUGAUCCAAAUAAAUAAUCAGUGAAUGUGGAUGGGGAAA